rnacentral:rRNA from 1 species
AGAGUUUGAUCCUGGCUCAGAGUGAUCGCUGGCGGCGUGCUUAACACAUGCAAGUCGAGCGAAUUUCAGCAGCGUAUCGCUGAAGUUAGCGGCAGACGGGUGAGUAAUACUUAGGCAAUCUACCUUUGAGUGGGAAACAACCGGCCGAAAGGCUGGCUAAUGUCCCAUAAGACCACAGGGAUGCAUAUUCCAGAGGUCAAAGCUCCGCAAGGGGCGCUCGAAGAGGAGCCUGAGUCCUAUCAGCUAGUUGGUGAGGUAACGGCUCACCAAGGCUUUGACGGGUAGCCGGCCUGAAAGGGUGAUCGGCCACACUGGCACUGAGUCACGGGCCAGACUCCUACGGGAGGCAGCAGUGGGGAAUUUUGGACAAUGGGGGCAACCCUGAUCCAGCGACGCCGCGUGGAGGACGAAGGUCUUCGGAUUGUAAACUCCUUUUAGGGGGGAUGAAUGAACGGGUGAAUAGCCCGGAAUGACAGUACUCCCUGAAUAAGCCACGGCUAACUUCGUGCCAGCAGCCGCGGUAAUACGAAGGUGGCAAGCGAUACUCGGAAUCACUAGGCGUAAAGCGCAGGUAGGCGGUUGGGUAAGUCUUUUGUGAAAGCUCCUGGCUUAACUGGGAGAGGUCAAGGGAAACUACCCGGCUAGAGUGUGGCAGAGGAAACUGGAAUUCCCGGUGUAGCGGUGAAAUGCGUAGAUAUCGGGAGGAAUACCUAUGGCGAAAGCAGGUUUCUGGGCCAUCACUGACGCUGAUCUGCGAAAGCUAGGGGAGCAAACAGGAUUAGAUACCCUGGUAGUCCUAGCCCUAAACGAUGCUCAUUAGGUGUGGAAGGUAUCGACCCCUCCCGCGCCGAAGCUAACGCAUUAAAUGAGCCGCCUGGGGAGUACGGCCGCAAGGUUGAACUCAAAGGAAUUGACGGGGGCCCGCACAAGCGGUGGAGCAUGUGGUUUAAUUCGACGCAACGCGAAGAACCUUACCUGGGCUUGAACUACUCGUGGUAGUUCGCUGGAAACAGGUGGAUGACCCGCAAGUAGC